rnacentral:snoRNA from 1 species
UAGAUCAAUGUCAAAAGUGAGUCAUGAGCUAAGAUUAUGAUUAAACUACUUCUGUGUACCUGAGAUCCAAA